rnacentral:tRNA from 1 species
GGAGUUGUGGCUCUGUGGUAGAGCACUCCCCUAGAAUGGGUGAGGCACUGGGUUUGAUCCUCAGCACCACCU